rnacentral:rRNA from 1 species
GGAAGGGGUGUAUUUAUUAGAUAAAAAACCAAUNCCCUUCGGGGCUCCUUGGUGAAUCAUAAUAACUUAACGAAUCGCAUGGCCUUGCGCCGGCGAUGGUUCAUUCAAAUUUCUGCCCUAUCAACUUUCGAUGGUAGGAUAGUGGCCUACCAUGGUGGCAACGGGUAACGGGGAAUUAGGGUUCGAUUCCGGAGAGGGAGCCUGAGGAACGGCUACCACAUCCAAGGAAGGCAGCAGGCGCGCAAAUUACCCAAUCCCGACACGGGGAGGUAGUGACAAUAAAUACUGAUACGGGGCUCUUUUGGGUCUCGUAAUUGGAAUGAGUACAAUCUAAAUCCCUUAACGAGGAACAAUUGGAGGGCAAGUCUGGUGCCAGCAGCCGCGGUAAUUCCAGCUCCAAUAGCGUAUAUUAAAGUUGUUGCAGUUAAAAAGCUCGUAGUUGAACCUUGGGUCUGGCUGGCCGGUCCGCCUCACCGCGAGUACUGGUCCGGCUGGACCUUUCCUUCUGGGGAAUCUCAUGGCCUUCACUGGCUGUGGGGGGAACCAGGACUUUUAC